CCUACGGGCGGCUGCAGUAGGGAAUAUUGCUCAAUGGGGGAAACCCUGAAGCAGCAACGCCGCGUGGAGGAUGAAGGUUUUAGGAUUGUAAACUCCUUUUUUUAGAGAAGAUUAUGACGGUAUCUAACGAAUAAGCACCGGCUAACUACGUGCCAGCAGCCGCGGUAAUACGGAGGGUGCAAGCGUUACUCGGAAUCACUGGGCGUAAAGAGUGCGUAGGCGGGGUAAUAAGUCAGAUGUGAAAUCCUGUAGCUUAACUAUAGAACUGCAUGUGAAACUGUUAAUCUGGAGUGUGGUAGAGGUAAGUGGAAUUCUUAGUGUAGGGGUAAAAUCCGUAGAUAUUAAGAGGAAUACUAAUUGCGAAGGCGACCUGCUGGAACAUUACUGACGCUGAUGCACGAAAGCGUGGGGAGCAAACAGGAUUAGAUACCCGAGUAGUC
rnacentral:rRNA from 1 species